UACAGAGGUCUCAAGCGUUGUUCGGAUUCAUUGGGCGUAAAGGGUGCGUAGGCGGCGCGGUAAGUCGGGUGUGAAAUCUUGGAGCUUAACUCCGAAACUGCAUUCGAUACUGCCGUGCUUGAGGACUGGAGAGGAGACUGGAAUUUACGGUGUAGCGGUGAAAUGCGUAGAUAUCGUAAGGAAGACCAGUGGCGAAGGCGACUCUUUGGCCUGUAACUGACGCUGAGGCGCGAAAGCGUGGGGAGCAAACAGG
rnacentral:rRNA from 1 species